rnacentral:rRNA from 1 species
GACGAACGCUGGCGGCGUGCUUAACACAUGCAAGUCGAACGAUGAAGCCGGAGCUUGCUCUGGUGGAUUAGUGGCGAACGGGUGAGUAACACGUGAGUAACCUGCCCUUGACUCUGGGAUAAGCGUUGGAAACGACGUCUAAUGCCGGAUACGAGCUAGGACCGCAUGGUCACUAGCUGGAAAGAACUUCGGUCAAGGAUGGACUCGCGGCCUAUCAGUUAGUUGGUGAGGUAACGGCUCACCAAGACGACGACGGGUAGCCGGCCUGAGAGGGUGACCGGCCAGACUGGGACGGAGACACGGACCAGACGCCUACUGGAGGCAGCAGUGGGGAAUAUUGCACAAUGGGCGCAAGCCUGAUGCAGCAACGCCGCGUGAGUGACGACGGCCUUCGGGUUGUAAGCCUCUUUUAGCAGGGAAGAAGCAAAAGUGACGGUACCUGCAGAAAAAGCACCGGCUAACUACGUGCCAGCCGCCGCCGUAACAC